GGGGGGGGGGGGGGGGGGGGGGGGGGGGGGGGGGGGGGGCGGGGGGGCGGGGCGGGGGUGGGGUGCUGGGGGGGGGGAGGGGGGGGUGAGGGGUGGGUGGCGUGCCCUUCACUUUGGGAUGACUUCAGGAGGCUGGGCUUACUCCCGUAUCGGAGCUCCUGGUGCGUUGUGUGGGUUGUCGGUUUUCGGCUGUCGGGGUUGUCGUCGCGGCUUAUCAGUUUGUUGGUGGGGUAGUGACUUACCCAGGCUUUGAAGGGUAGCAGGCCUGAGAGGGUGACAGGCAACAUUGGGACUGAGAUGCGGCACAGACUGCUACGGGAGGCAGCAGUGGGGAAUAUUGCACAAUGGGCGGAAGCCUGAUGCAGCAACGCAGCGUGCGGGAUGAAGGCCCUCGGGUUGUAAACCGCUUUCGCCGGUGACGAAGCGUGAGUGACGGUCAUGGGUAAAGAAGCACCGGCUAACUACGUG
rnacentral:rRNA from 1 species